ensembl:lincRNA
AUAUUGUUAAAUCAGGCAUCCAGGUCAAGCAGAAAGACCGAACUAUGAACCUUCAAGAUAUCCGGUAUAUUCUGAAGAAUGACUUAAAGGAAUUUAUUGGAGCCCAAAGAACUCAGCUAACUAAGAGCCCCAGGGCACAGAGAUAUGAACCCCAUCCUGAUGUCAGUGUCUAUCUAGGAUUGACUUCAGAACAUGCAAAAGCAACCUCAGACUUGGAAAUCAAAGAGCUAAAGGAAACAGGUAGUCAGCCACAUUCACCAAGGGGUCACUUUUCUCCCACCGCAAAGGUAACAUUAGCUCCUCAGAUCCCUGAUUCAAGUCUGAUGGCCCAGGAAUCUCAGAAUCCAGGUACUCCUUUUCCAGCUCCUCCAUUUAUGGCAGAAGAGAUCCACAACCCCCGAACAAGUCAGGAAAGCCUCUGUAGCUUCGAAAUCAAUGAGAUCUACUCAGGCUGUUUACAUUUGGGGGAUAACAGAGAGGAGGAGCACCCAGGAACUGCUUCAUCUCUUGAGGGGUAUAGACCAAACCUGGUAGAUGAACUGCAGUCUGUGGAAGAAGAGUUAGAGAAGAUGGAGAGAGAGGCUUACUUUUGUGAUGAAGAUGAGAGCUCUUCAGAAGUUGACACAGAGCUCUCCUUUGGGUACUGGCAAAAUGGUUCACUUGCUUCACUCAGCCUACCUGAGCCAACCAGAGAAGCCAAGGGCAAAGUGAGCAGCAGGUCCAUGACUGAGGAGUACAUCAGUAAGUGUGUGCUGAAUCUGAAGAUUUCACAGACAUUAAUGCACCAGAAUGCUGAUUUGCUGAGGAACACUCAGCAGAAAAUAGAUGAACUUGAGUUGUUAGAGAAUGAGCAGGAAACAUGCAGGUCUUUAUGGGCUACUUCAAGAGAGUUUUCAGACACCCAUGACUCACCUUCAGCCCUGGGCCCCCCAGCUUUGAGUUAUAUUCCUCCUGUCAUGCAGCUCUCAUGGAGUCCCAAGUCAGACACCAGUGGCAAUUGCCCAACCCUGGCAAGGUCUCCAAGAACAGUGAAAGGCUUUGAAGGGGGACAUUUGGGCAAAAAACCCAAGAAAAGAAGUGACUGUGGCUGGCAGUCUUUCACCCAAGUAUCUGAAGAAAGCACUAGGGAACAGCCAGAGACCAGCCAACAGCUGCCAACUGUUUGUGGCCCUGGAAGACAGAACACAGAUGAGCAAUCUCAGACCACUCAAGGAGCCAAGGACAGUUUGGAAAGAAGCAGGAACCAAAAUAGUAGGACCAGUGUAGAAGGUGUGUCUUCUGAAAUCUGUAAUACAAAGUCAAGAAAUAAUGAAGAUGAUGGAGAGAUACACAUAAAAUGGAAAAUGGAAGUGAAAGAAAUGGCAGAGAAAGCAGCUACUGGGCAGCUCACAGUACCUCCUUGGCAUCCUCAAAGUAGUUUGACUUUAAACAGUGAAGCUGAAAAUCAGCCUGCUCCUUUGAUGCAGCCCCCUGUUAAGGGCUCUCAAAACAUGGACUGGAAGCAAGUUGUAGUGUAUCACAGAGAAAAUGGUGAGCCAGGAGGAAAUGUCAAAUUUGAAAAAAUGGACAGUAGUGGCUGUGACAGUGACAAGCACAGCAAACAGCCUGAGCCUCAAAGAUUCACCAGUAUCAGGCACCUGUCUCCCAGAAAAAAUGAGCAGCCAGAGCAUAGUGAAUCCUUUCAAGCAAGUUCUGAUGCAUCUGUGGCAGUUGAGAAAUCCUACAGUGACCAAUCUGUACAAUCAACUUGUUCACCAGAAUCUUCUGAAGACAUAACAGAUGAAUUUUUAACUCCAGAAUAUGAGUAUUUUUACUCCUCUACUGUUCAAGAAAACUUAGCUCUAGAGACCUCAAGUCCCAUAGAAAAGGACUUUGAAGAAAUACAAGGUGCCUUUGCCCAACCUCCAGUCUGUGGUAAGCCCUAGGACAGAUUCAUUUGA